UUGACCUCGGAUCAGGUAGGGAUACCCGCUGAACUUAAGCAUAUCAUAAG
rnacentral:rRNA from 3 species